rnacentral:rRNA from 1 species
CAGUCGCCGCGGGAAUACGGAGGAUCCAAGCGUUAUCCGGAAUCAUUGGGUUUAAAGGGUCCGUAGGCGGUCUUGUAAGUCAGUGGUGAAAGCCCAUCGCUCAACGGUGGAACGGCCAUUGAUACUGCAGGACUUGAAUUAUUGGGAAGUAACUAGAAUAUGUAGUGUAGCGGUGAAAUGCUUAGAGAUUACAUGGAAUACCAAUUGCGAAGGCAGGUUACUACCAAUUGAUUGACGCUGAUGGACGAAAGCGUGGGUAGCGAACAGGAUUAGAUACCCGGGUAGUCCCUGUCUCUUAUAA